GACGUAGGGCGCGAGCGUUGUCCGGAAUCAUUGGGCGUAAAGCGCACGUAGGCGGCCCUGUAAGUCGGAUGUGAAAUCCCUCGGCUCAACCGAGGACGUGCAUCCGAAACUGCAGAGCUCGAGUAUGGAAGAGGGUCGCGGAAUUCCCGGUGUAGAGGUGAAAUUCGUAGAUAUCGGGAGGAACACCAGUGGCGAAGGCGGCGACCUGGGCCAAUACUGACGCUGAGGUGCGAAAGCGUGGGGAGCAAACAGG
rnacentral:rRNA from 1 species